UCCGUAGGUGAACCUGCGGAAGGAUCAUUACCGAGUGAGGGCCCUCUGGGUCCAACCUCCCACCCGUGUUUAUUUUACCUUGUUGCUUCGGCGGGCCCGCCUUAACUGGCCGCCGGGGGGCUUACGCCCCCGGGCCCGCGCCCGCCGAAGACACCCUCGAACUCUGUCUGAAGAUUGUAGUCUGAGUGAAAAUAUAAAUUAUUUAAAACUUUCAACAACGGAUCUCUUGGUUCCGGCAUCGAUGAAGAACGCAGCGAAAUGCGAUACGUAAUGUGAAUUGCAAAUUCAGUGAAUCAUCGAGUCUUUGAACGCACAUUGCGCCCCCUGGUAUUCCGGGGGGCAUGCCUGUCCGAGCGUCAUUGCUGCCCUCAAGCACGGCUUGUGUGUUGGGCCCCGUCCUCCGAUCCCGGGGGACGGGCCCGAAAGGCAGCGGCGGCACCGCGUCCGGUCCUCGAGCGUAUGGGGCUUUGUCACCCGCUCUGUAGGCCCGGCCGGCGCUUGCCGAUCAACCCGAAUUUUUAUCCAGGUUGACCUCGGAUCAGGUAG
rnacentral:rRNA from 1 species